UCUCCGUUGGUGAACCAGCGGAGGGAUCAUUACCGAAGUUACCUUCAAAACCCACUGUGAACCUUACCUCUUGCCGCGUUGUCUCGGCGGGAGGCGGGUGGCGUGGCGCGCCCCACCGCGGGCCGCACCGCUCCCCGUCCCCGCCGGCAGCGCCAAACUCUAAAUGCACAGCGGACUGUACGUUCUGAUUUACAAAAAAACAAGUUAAAACUUUCAACAACGGAUCUCUUGGUUCUG
rnacentral:misc_RNA from 1 species